CGGUUUGCGAAACGAGCUGAAAUUGAAUCCGACAUGGACCGCCUGUAUAACUCCCCCUCCUCGGUAUCUUUCGUGUCCGAUGCCCAAUACGGCGUCGUUCCAUCGUUUUGAAAACAAAAGGGUUAGGGAGUAUAAUCAUUAAUUUAUAAUUAUAAUUAUAAUUAUAAAUGAUUAUGUAGUUUGACAAGCAUAAAUAUAUGUUUAUUGUAAUUGGUAAGUAGAAAUAAAUGGAAUAAUCCUGUGAGGUGUUAAUUAGAGUUGGGAAGUUGGUCGGUGUAAAUUAGCGUCCUUUGUUCGCUGAAUUUGCUCCAAAGAGCCCUCCUUUCUCUCCAGGGCUUCUGUACUUGUUUCAAUUUUA
rnacentral:misc_RNA from 1 species